rnacentral:lncRNA from 1 species
UACAGAUUCCCUCUAAAGCCAUUUUCCUGAUAUAGUACUAAAAUUGCAUAUUCAAACCAUUCUGUCAAUAAUAGGCUUCUAAAGAAUUUCGGCAUGAAAUGAUUUAAUACAUUUAGAUUGUUUAGUCGGGGUUUCAAUAUAGCUUAUAAUACGCGAUAAUCCUGUGCAUUUUCAUGCUUAUAUGAUUUAACUGGCGUCCGCCUUCUGGUGUUUUUCUUUUCUUUUUUUUUUACAGUCACUCUGAAAAGUCAUAAAUGAAAAAGUUAAAUUAAGGCGCAAAAUUCAAGGAAGACAAACAUUUAAAAGGCUGCGUAAUGCAGGGCCCAGUAUGAUAAGCUCCAACAGGCAGUUUGUACACCUCCUACUUACACUUCACUUAAAUCAGCAACAAUGAAUAAAAACAGUGACCGGGCAUACGCAAAUUAACGAGUGGAAAAAAGUACUGGCGAAGAACAAGUCUUUCGAGGGAACGAAACUUGAUAAAUUUUGUUAUAUCAUUGAAGGUUUUUAACUAACAAACCAGACUACUUCAUUCCACAUAUUCAUGUAAAAAUUGGUAGAAAGUUCAUCAUUUAUUCACACUUAUGUACAAAUAAAUACUCGUAUAUAAUAUAGGUUCACCUGCCUCACCAAAACUUUUAAUGAGCCAUCUUUGAAUCCAGUGUGGAGUUCUAUGAAUUACAAAAAGUGCCUAAAUUAGCAGUCAAAUAGAUACAGACAAAUCAAUUAUUUCAGGGUAUCCGUUUCCUUCGCUGAUUAGCUAAUGUUCUGUUGUGAUGCGCUCUUACAGAUCAACAUUCAAAGAAACAGUUUUUCAUUCAUAAAAGUGAAUUCGAAUCAACGUUGCAAAUCUUCAUUCUAUAGGGGGAAAAAAACGUUUGCCAAGAAAUUUAUCCUUUGCUCCCUACAUAAAAGAGGUUGGACUACCUCAUGUUUUCUGCAAACAAACCGUAGAAUUUCAUUGUACAAAUUCAUUUGUUAAUUGGUAGAGUGGCACUUUUAUAUAUAAAAACAACAGGGCAAUAAAGCUCUCAGUAUAGAUCCCUCUCGGGUCUUGAAUAAUCGUAUUGUCAUCACGCACCCAAAGUUAAUGUAUAAAUGUUGUCUCUUAUAUUUCUGUAUAGAAAGGCAUGCAUAAUUUUUAUUAUCUUUGUAGUGUUUUGUCCUAUGAUAUUGUACAUAUAAAGAAACAUAAAUAAACUAUUUGACUUGG